CCACCCCAACCACUUCAACCACCACCGCCUCCACCACAACAAACAGCCAUACCCAGCCGCCCACAACCAAAGAGCCCCUCAACCCACUGUACACGCCAGGUGACCUCGCUGGGGUGGGCGUAGGAUUGCUUAUCAUUGGCUUGUCCAUCGGGGCUGGCGGGACCUUCCUGGUGGUGGUGAAGAAGGUCCACUUAAUUGUACUAGGCUGGUUCUCAAAGGGUUAAGAGUCAGAACAACAACACCUCCUGCACCAUCACCGGCCAGGCAUGGGGCAAUUAUAUGACAUAGCUUAACUAGUUAACUUUUGAAAUGACAGUUUAACUUAACUUAAUCGAAAUUUUAGCAAAUUAAUUGAUUAACUUCGAUUAAUUAUCAAUUAACUCUUUAGAAAAAAUAACAAAUAAUAUAUAACACACCAGCCCUUGCACCCAGUAUCCACACUGUUGACUUUCCUGUACAGUACACGAGAGGGUGAGGCUGCCCUGGUCCUGCCUGCUGCCACCCAGUUACUCAGUUGUUGUUCCAGUGUCCAUGUGAUAAACACGCUCAAAGGGCGAGGUGUAUAUUAUAAUACUUUUUGCAAGUUGAAAAGACUUGAAAGUUGAAAUAUGAGACAAACAUUUUCGUAUACACAUUAUGGAAAUGAACAUAAUGAGGUUUGGCUAUUCAGGUAUUCAAACUACAGGGUGUCCAUAAAUUAUUACCAUAAAAAAAGAAUGCUCUCAUGUUUUAAUCAGGGUAAUCAUUUAUGGACACCCUGUACAGUAUUCAUGACUCUUCUGGAAAACAUUUACAGGAUAUUAAGUUAUUUAAUCCACAUGAAAAGUGAUUGUUAAAUUUGAAAUUUAAAAUUACAUUAUUGUUUUGAUAAUCUACAUUUACUGAAAGUAAUGUCUUAGGUAUAUCUGGGUAUGCAGUAUACCAAACAUUUAAUUUUAUCAGAACGCUAAAUUACUAUCCUCUUCUAAGCAUUUGUGUUAAUAAUAUUUCAAAACUUUGAGAACAUUUCGCAGUUACUUAGGCCAGAUACAUUUCUUUAUUUAUAAUUUCCAUAAUAUUAAAGAUUGUAUUUUUUGUUUGUUAAACGCCAGCACCAUAAUGUGUAAUGCAUUAUGUCUACCUUUUUCAUCUCAGGAAAUAUGAUUUAAUUGUAACAGGUUGACAAACAGUACAGUAAAAUUAGGUUUUGUAGUAAUG